rnacentral:lncRNA from 1 species
UGGAACAAAUAGUCAAAGCCACCAUAUAUGAAUCAUAUUCUAUAAUCAAAACUUUUUUUAACAUUUCUCAUGAGCAAUAUUGUCUACAAGUAUAAUUAGGUAUGCCUCCAACUCUUAUUGAAAAUAAUAAAAUAAGGGAUACAUCAAAAAUAAAAAACAAAGUGACUAUAAAAUUGCAACUCAUAUAAAGAAAACUAAAAUAUUAUAUUAUUACACUAAUAAAAUAAAAAAUGAUACAUCCUUUCAAACUUAUGAAAUAUUAUAAGAGAUCUAUUACAUUAAAAUGUAAACAAACUACGAU